rnacentral:lncRNA from 1 species
AUUUAAUUUUAUUUUAUUAUUAUUUAUUUAUUUAUUUAUUUAUUUUGUCUUUUUGCCAUUUCUAGGGCAGCUCCCGCGGCAUAUGGAGGUUCCCAGGCUAGGGGUCGAAUUGGAGCUGUAGCCACCCGCCUACGCCGGAGCCACAGCAACGCAGGAUCGGAGCCGCGUCUGUAACCUACACCACAGCUCAAGGCAACGCCGGAUCGUUAACCCACUGAGCAAGGGCAGGGACCGAACCCGCAACCUCAUGGUUCCAAGUCAGAUUCGUUAACCGCUGCGCCACGACGGGAACUCCCCGGGAGGAGUCCGUCCCUCUAUCCCCCUCAAUUCAUCACAGUAAAGGAGUCAGGGAAGCCAGAGACAAGGUUCCAGAAAGGAAGACUGGAUGAGGACCUGGAGAGCUUGUUGUGGACCCCUGGGAAAGUGCUUCCUCAGACACGGAAAGGCCUUGCCAGGACCACAGAGCAUCAAGAGACAGUAUCCUGAUGCCCAGGCAGCUGAACCAGCCCAGAGACAGGAAGUGCACAGUCAGGAAGCUCUUCUUUCCAAAGCAGUCUGGGAAAUUUCUCAUCCAUAGGAUGUUUUGUUGUUGCUGUUGUGCUGUCAAUAAUUUAAUUUUAGUUGACCCCCAUAUGUUUUGGUUCUGCCCUGCUGAGAGAACAGCAGGUCACUCAGAGGAAGGGUUGCUAUCAUUUUGAGCAGUUAGAAAUUCUGCCCACUCCUUCUUCUCUUCUCCCCAUUUUCUAGCUCUAAGGUUCUCAACCUCUUCCCAGGGAACAUUUUGAAGAUUUGUGGGCUUUCUUUUUGAAAUUGCCAUGAUGGGGGGGGCACUAUGGGCUCUUAUGGGCAGGGCAGGGGAAUGAUAUUCUUCAAAGCCUAGCCUGCAGCAUGAAACUGUGCCUCCUCCACAUGCUCAAAUGUCCCCUAGGACAUUCAUGUAGGUGAAAACUUAUGUUUAAUUAUCUGAGCUGAGAGUUUAAUACAGUUAAAAAAAAGUCUUAUAUGCAAUGAACUUUCUAGGAAUGCAAUUACAGUUCCGUGUAAAUUCAGGGAAGAUUGACUUUGCUACCAAGGGUUUGUUCAACAUUUCGUUAAGUCACUUCAUUGAUGGCAACAUGCUGGAGGUAGUUGAGUCACCGACUCAGCACCUGUAUCAGCCUGCAUUUGUAGCAGUUCCAACCCUGUGAUUCUGUGGAUAAGUGCAAGCAUCUGCCUACUUCGUUAUGACUCCAACACUCACACAUUAAACACUCUUUUACUACAAAUUACUUUUUUUUAAUGUUACAGAGAAGCAUGUUGACUUUUUUUUUUUUAAGUUAUGUAUGUAGGUAGGUUAUAUCCUGGGAAUUUCAGUUCAGCACAGUAAAGGAGUCAUUACAAGAUGCUUGAAGGUGGAGGCGUUCUCUUGUGGGGCAGCAGGUUAAGAUCUGGUGUUGUCACUGCAGUGGCUUCGGGGCUUGGGUUGUUGCUGUGGCUUGGGUUCCAUCCCUGGCCCAGGAACUUCCACGUGACCCGGGCAAGGCCAAAGAAAAUAAAUGUUUGAAUCAGUUCUAAUCAGCCUCAUGGUAUUUGGCUUUUUUCCCCACCAGAAGCUUUUCCCUGCCUCGUUCCCCAGAAGGAGCCCUCUCUCUCCUCUGGUAGCCCAGACUCACUCCCAUGAACAAUAUACACACGCGCGUGCACGCCGUGACACACACACACUACACACAGACACAGGCACACACCUUCCACCACCAGACAAUAGCCAGGAGCCUCCGGAACCGUCAAAAGGCCUGCACUUCCCCGACUGUCUUGAGAGUUUCCAGUUCUCCCUUAGUCAAGAAAUAUUGAUUGCUAGGCCCUGCUGGAGUAGAGAAGAUAAUGCUGGCUCCUGCCCACUUGGAGGCUCUUUUUGCUCAUUGCUUUCUUUCUUUCUUCUCCUCCCCUCCUACUUUAAUUUCUCUCCUUGAUGCUCCUCUUCUCGUCUUUUGCUUCCAAUCCUCUCUCCUCGUUCCCUCCCCCAAGCAGGCGAGUAGCAGAGCUCUCUGGUCACCAGCUGUCUCUUCCCCAUCCAACUCCUGUCGCGCUGAGGUGGCUCCGGGCCUUCACCCCCUCCCCUGUCUGACCCUGGCUUCUCCUUUCUCUCCCACCUCAUCUCCUUCUCAUCCGGCCUUCGGCCUCAGUCUCUCAUCUCACCCCGAACCAGGCUCCUUCCUCUUUGUGCAGCCGUCUUUCUCCACCUGCAUCCCAGAUUCCCCGUCUCAGCGUCAGCUCCUUGGCCUUUGGCUCGGGCUCCCUCGCCCCCACCCCAGCUUCCAGUCGUCUAGCCCGCGGGUCCCCGCGCGUGUGCUCGUGCACGGGUGUCCCUCUCUCAGGCCUCGGAGCCCCGCUCCUCCGCCGCCCGCCCCCCGGCGCUGUGG